UAUUGCAAAAUGGGCGAAAGCCCGAUGCAGCAACGCCGCGUGGGCGAUGAAGGCCUUCGGGUCGUAAAGCCCUUUUUGAGGGGAUGAGGAAGGACAGUACCCUCAGAAUAAGCCUCGGCUAACUACGUGCCAGCAGCCGCGGUAAAACGUAGGAGGCGAGCGUUAUCCGGAUUUACUGGGCGUAAAGCGCGUGCAGGCGGAUUGGAGAGUUGGAUGUGAAAGCUCCCGGCUUAACUGGGAGAGGUCGUUCAAUACUUCCAGUCUUGAGUGCAGUAGUGGGAAGUGGAAUUCCGGGUGUAGUGGUGAAAUGCGUAGAUAUCCGGAGGAACACCAGUGGCGAAAGCGGCUUCCUGGACUGUAACUGACGCUCAGACGCGAAAGCUAGGGUAGCAAAC
rnacentral:rRNA from 1 species